rnacentral:rRNA from 1 species
CAUAGAGGAAGUAAAAGUCGUAACAAGGUCUCCGUUGGUGAACCAGCGGAGGGAUCAUUGCUGGAACGCGCUUCGGCGCACCCAGAAACCCUUUGUGAACUUAUACCUAUUGUUGCCUCGGCGUCAGGCCGGCCUCUUCACUGAGGCCCCCCGGAGACGGGGAGCAGCCCGCCGGCGGCCAACUAAACUCUUGUUUCUAUAGUGAAUCUCUGAGUAAAAAACAUAAAUGAAUCAAAACUUUCAACAACGGAUCUCUUGGUUCUGGCAUCGAUGAAGAACGCAGCGAAAUGCGAUAAGUAAUGUGAAUUGCAGAAUUCAGUGAAUCAUCGAAUCUUUGAACGCACAUUGCGCCCCCUGGUAUUCCGGGGGGCAUGCCUGUUCGAGCGUCAUUUCAACCCUCAAGCCUGGCUUGGUGAUGGGGCACUGCUUCGAAAGGAGCAGGCCCUGAAAUUCAGUGGCGAGCUCGCCAGGACCCCGAGCGUAGUAGUUAUAUCUCGCUUUGGAAGGCCCUGGCGGUGCCCUGCCGUUAACCCCCAACUUCUGAAAAUUUGACCUCGGAUCAGGUAGGAAUACCCGCUAACUUAAGCAUAU